GAUGAACGCUGGCGGCGUGCCUAAUACAUGCAAGUCGAGCGAACAGACGAGGAGCUUGCUCCUCUGACGUUAGCGGCGGACGGGUGAGUAACACGUGGAUAACCUACCUAUAAGACUGAGAUAACUUCGGGAAACCGGAGCUAAUACCGGAUAAUAUAUUGAACCGCAUGGUUCAAUAGUGAAAGACGGUUUUGCUGUCACUUAUAGAUGGAACCGCGCCGCAUUAGCUAGUUGGUAAGGUAACGGCUUACCAAGGCGACGAUGCGUAGCCGACCUGAGAGGGUGAUCGGUCACACUGGAACUGAGACACGGUCCAGACUCCUACGGGAGGCAGCAGUAGGGAAUCUUCCGCAAUGGGCGAAAGCUUGACGGAGCAACGCCGCGUGAGUGAUGAAGGUCUUCGGAUCGUAAAACUCUGUUAUUAGGGAAGAACAAAUGUGUAAGUAACUAUGCACGUCUUGACGGUACCUAAUCAGAAAGCCACGGCUAACUACGUG
rnacentral:rRNA from 1 species